rnacentral:rRNA from 1 species
CUCCUCUGACGUUAGCGGCGGACGGGUGAGUAACACGUGGGUAACCUACCUAUAAGACUGGAAUAACUCCGGGAAACCGGGGCUAAUGCCGGAUAAUACAUGAAACCGCAUGGUUUCAUGAUGAAAGACGGUUUUGCUGUCACUUAUAGAUGGACCCGCGGCGUAUUAGCUAGUUGGUAAGGUAACGGCUUACCAAGGCAACGAUACGUAGCCGACCUGAGAGGGUGAUCGGCCACACUGGAACUGAGACACGGUCCAGACUCCUACGGGAGGCAGCAGUAGGGAAUCUUCCGCAAUGGGCGAAAGCCUGACGGAGCAACGCCGCGUGAGUGAUGAAGGUCUUCGGAUCGUAAAACUCUGUUAUUAGGGAAGAACAAGGAUGUAAGUAACUGUGCAUCCCUUGACGGUACCUAAUCAGAAAGCCACGGCUAACUACGUGCCAGCAGCCGCGGUAAUACGUAGGUGGCAAGCGUUAUCCGGAAUUAUUGGGCGUAAAGCGCGCGUAGGCGGUUUUUUAAGUCUGAUGUGAAAGCCCACGGCUCAACCGUGGAGGGUCAUUGGAAACUGGAAAACUUGAGUGCAGAAGAGGAAAGUGGAAUUCCAUGUGUAGCGGUGAAAUGCGCAGAGAUAUGGAGGAACACCAGUGGCGAAGGCGACUUUCUGGUCUGCAACUGACGCUGAUGUGCGAAAGCGUGGGGAUCAAACAGGAUUAGAUACCCUGGUAGUCCACGCCGUAAACGAUGAGUGCUAAGUGUUAGGGG